rnacentral:rRNA from 1 species
UGGGGGAUAUUGCACAAUGGGCGAAAGCCUGAUGCAGCGACGCCGCGUGGGGGAUGAAGGCUUUCGGGUUGUAAACCUCUUUCGCUAUCGAACAAGGCCCGCUUAGGGUGGGUUGAGGGUAGGUGGAGAAGAAGCGCCGGCUAACUACGUGCCAGCAGCCGCGGUAAUACGUAGGGCGCGAGCGUUGUCCGGAAUUAUUGGGCGUAAAGGGCUUGUAGGCGGCUUGUUGCGCCUGCUGUGAAAACGCGGGGCUUAACUUCGCGCGUGCAGUGGGUACGGGCAGGCUUGAGUGUGGUAGGGGUGACUGGAAUUCCAGGUGUAGCGGUGGAACGCGCAGAUAUCUGGAGGAACACCGAUGGCGAAGGCAGGUCACUGGGCCAUUACUGACGCUGAGGAGCGAAAGCAUGGGUAGCGAACAGG